UGUGAAUUGCAUAAUUCAGUGAAUCAUCGAAUCUUUGAACGCACCUUGCGUCCCCUUGGUAUUCCGAGGGGCACACCCGUUUGAUUGUCGUGAAAACCUCAACCUCCUUGGUUUCUUUCUGGAGCGACUGAAAUGAGGCUUGGACUUUGAUAGGCCUUUGCCUGUGUGUCUCUCACUCCUCUCCUCUUAAAUGAAUUAACGCGGUCCUCUUUGUCCNAUCCUCUACACUUGAUAAUAUGCUUCCNUGUCUCGNUUUCUGGCUCUGUUGCUUUUGGGACCCNCUGUCUAACCGUCUGGACCUUGUGUCAAGAC
rnacentral:rRNA from 1 species